rnacentral:rRNA from 1 species
GACCAGACUCCUACGGGAGGCAGCAGUGGGGAAUAUUGCACAAUGGGGGAAACCCUGAUGCAGCGACGCCGCGUGAGUGAAGAAGUAUUUCGGUAUGUAAAGCUCUAUCAGCAGGGAAGAAAUAGCGACCUUUGGGUCGCCAGACGGUACCUGAUUAAGAAGCCCCGGCUAACUACGUGCCAGCAGCCGCGGUAAUACGUAGGGGGCAAGCGUUAUCCGGAUUUACUGGGUGUAAAGGGAGCGCAGGCGGCUUGGCAAGUCUGAUGUGAAAGGCUGGGGCUCAACCCCAGGACUGCAUUGGAAACUGUUAGGCUGGAGUGUCGGAGAGGUAAGCGGAAUUCCUAGUGUAGCGGUGAAAUGCGUAGAUAUCAGGAGGAACACCGGCGGCGAAGGCGGCCUGCUGGACCGCGACUGACGUUGAGGCUCGAAAGCGUGGGGAGCGAACAGGAUUAGAUACCCCUGUA